UACGUAGGGGGCAAGCGUUGUCCGGAAUCAUUGGGCGUAAAGCGCGCGUAGGCGGCCCGGUAAGUCCGUUGUGAAAGUCAAAGGCUCAACCUUUGAAAGCCGAUGGAUACUGCCGGGCUAGAGUCCGGAAGAGGCGAGUGGAAUUCCUGGUGUAGCGGUGAAAUGCGCAGAUAUCGGGAGGAACACCAAUGGCGAAGGCAGCUCGCUGGGACGGUACUGACGCUGAGACGCGAAAGCGUGGGGAGCAAACAGG
rnacentral:rRNA from 1 species